AGUCUCUUAUUGAAUGAUAGGUUGUGGAUUCACUUAGUAGUCAUCCCACUGUUCGGCCAAUGUCACAUCAACAACAAUCUCAUGCAUUUUCAUCCCAAGAGGUUCACCUUUCAAAGAAAGAGAAGAAGAAUAAGAAGAAGAAGAAGAACUAACAAGGAGUCUUCUAUUUAUAUAUGAAAACUAUAGAAAGGGCUCAUAUGCCAAACAAAUUGUGGGAAAUGUUAAGCUGCCGAGAAAUUAUGAGAAAGCCCUUGAAAUUAUUGACAAGCAUAUGGCAAUAGGGAAAAGCUACAUGGACAGUAUGUUUCAUAGAGCUGGAAUCACUCAAGGAUAGGAGACAACCCAGUAUGUUUCAUAGAGCUGGAAUCACUCCCAGUUUGUUUCCUUCUGGCAAAAGCUACAUGGACAAUGUUAAAACAUGAUUUUUGGAUUUGGAUAUGUUAUUUUGUGGGUAAUGGUGAUUCGAUAUUAAUUGAAUGAGAAACUGAAUUAAUGCUUUAUUUGUUAUUUGAAUGGGAGUUAUUAUUUUAU